CAGUAGCUUACUCCUUUCACCAAAUCUGGGAAGCAAUGACUUGAAUAAGAGAUUGUCCUGGUGCUUCAGCUCAGGCCCAAGGCUCCCUUGGCUGGGAAGGCCCAAGGAAGAUGGGCCUGUCCCCAAGGAGAGCAGGGAGCAGAAGAUCGGACCUUCCGCUUCAUACCCAGGACCGAAGGAGCUGUCAGCUAGCUUGCAAAUCAUUUUUCAAUCCAUAAAAUAGCAGUCCCCGUACCAUGCAAUCAUUUUAAGAAAGAACAGUUUUUGCUCUGGAAUAUAGGAGAGAUUCUAGACUCCUUUUGCCCUUCCCCAGAUUAUCACAGCCAUAUCUGCAACCCCCAGAACAUUUGGAAAGCAAAGGAAAGUGUAAAGAAGCUGAAAAAAAUCACCCAUAAUCUUCUCAUUUAGAUUCAAUCGCAGUAAUGAGUUUGGUAUUUUUCUAUUCUAUUCUUUUCUCCGCAUUUUUUCAUUGUAUGGUCACGUUUGUACUUACAUCAGCACUGUUCAAGACACAUAUGUGAACCACAAAUAUGAGUUACAUAUGUAAUUUUAAAUGUUUUCGUAGCCUCAUUCAAGAAAAAUCAAAACAGCCAAAAUUAUUUUUAACAAUAUAUUUUAUCUAACCCAAUAGAUCCAAAAUAUUAUUUCAC
rnacentral:lncRNA from 1 species